GACGAACGCUGGCGGCGUGCCUAAUACAUGCAAGUCGAACGCAGUGGGGACGGGCGAGGAACACGUGGGACACCUCCCAUCAGAGGGGAUAACACUUGGAAACAGGUGCUAAACCGAUACUGAUGGAUGAACCCGCGUUGCAUUAGCUAGUUGGUGGGGUAACGGCUCACCAAGGCCCCGAUGCAGAGCCGACCUGCGAGGGUGAUCGGCCACACUGGGACUGAGCGACGGCCCAGAAUCCUACGGGAGGCAGCAGUGGGGAAUCUUCGGCAAUGGACGAAAGUCUGACCGAGCAACGCCGCGUGAGUGAAGAAGGUCUUCGGAUCGUAAAACUCUGUUGUUAGAGAAGCGGUAUCUAACCAGAAAGCCACGGCUAACUACGUGCCAGCAGCCGCGGUAAUAC
rnacentral:rRNA from 1 species